AGUGAACGCUGGCGGUAGGCCUAACACAUGCAAGUCGAACGGCAGCACAGUAAGAGCUUGCUCUUACGGGUGGCGAGUGGCGGGCGGGUGAGGAAUACAUCGGAAUCUACUUUUUCGUGGGGGAUAACGUAGGGAAACUUACGCUAAUACCGCAUACGACCUACGGGUGAAAGCAGGGGAUCUUCGGACCUUGCGCGAUUGAAUGAGCCGAUGUCGGAUUAGCUAGUUGGCGGGGUAAAGGCCCACCAAGGCGACGAUCCGUAGCUGGUCUGAGAGGAUGAUCAGCCACACUGGAACUGAGACACGGUCCAGACCCCUACGGGAGGCAGCAGUGGGGAAUAUUGGACAAUGGGCGCAAGCCUGAUCCAGCCAUACCGCGUGGGUGAAGAAGGCCUUCGGGUUGUAAAGCCCUUUUGUUGGGAAAGAAAAGCAGCAGGUUAAUACCCCGCUGUUCUGACGGUACCCAAAGAAUAAGCACCGGCUAACUUCGUG
rnacentral:rRNA from 1 species